UUCGUCAGGCAAGUCUGUGCAAGCUGGCACC
rnacentral:piRNA from 1 species